UCAGUAACGGCGAGUGAAGCGGCAAGAGCUCAAAUUUGAAAGCUGGCCCCUUCGGGGUCCGCGUUGUAAUUUGCAGAGGAUGCUUCGGGUGCAGCCCCCGUCUAAGUGCCCUGGAACGGGCCGUCAUAGAGGGUGAGAAUCCCGUCUGGGACGGGGUGUCUGCGUCCGUGUGAAGCUCCUUCGAAGAGUCGAGUUGUUUGGGAAUGCAGCUCUAAAUGGGUGGUAAAUUUCAUCUAAAGCUAAAUACUGGCCGGAGACCGAUAGCGCACAAGUAGAGUGAUCGAAAGAUGAAAAGCACUUUGAAAAGAGAGUUAAACAGCACGUGAAAUUGUUGAAAGGGAAGCGUUUGCGACCAGACUCGCUCGCGGGGUUCAGCCGGCAUUCGUGCCGGUGUACUUCCCCGUGGGCGGGCCAGCGUCGGUUUGGGCGGCCGGUCAAAGGCCCUCGGAAUGUAUCACCUCUCGGGGUUGUCUUAUAGCCGAGGGUGCAAUGCGGCCUGCCCGGACCGAGGAACGCGCUUCGGCUCGGACGCUGGCGUAAUGGUCGUAAAUGACCCGU
rnacentral:rRNA from 1 species